rnacentral:pre_miRNA from 1 species
UAAAUGUGUGUGUGUGUGUGUGUGUGUGUAUAUACAUUUAUUUUGUCUUUGAUAUACACACACACACACACACACACACACA